CGCGCCUCUUCCGCGCCGGCCGGGCUGAGCGCGCAAGGAUCUGCCUGGGGUCUUCCCAGCGCGGCGGAGGGGAAUGUGGCAUCGCUGCGGAACACCAACUAGGCGUGACGGCGUGUGCGGGGCUAGAAUGCUUUUUUGGGACGAGGGCCCGUGGUGCCAAUGAGGUCCCCACAGGAGUGCGGUCCGGGACCCCGAAACGCUUGCGAACCGAUGGUCGGACUGAGGCCCUUGACCCUCGUGAGGGCUGGAGCAGCCGACCGUGAACCGGAAGGGGCGGGGCUGGGGCGGCGGUGGGCGCCAGCUCCGGAGCGGCAGUGACUUGCUGCUGCUUCCCCGGGGACUCUCAGGACCAUCGCCAUUUGAAGCCAAGGGGAAGAGGGAGGGUGUCCUCUUUGGGGCCCAGGCUUUGCAUGGAGUGACUUGGGAGUGGUGGCGGUCUGGGAAAAGUCACCACCCUUUGAUCCAGUCCUGGGGCAGGCACUUAACCUGGUCAGUGCCCUCCCCGGCCAGUUUGCAGGUUAGAAAACUGAGCCUCUAGUUGGUUAAACUAUCAAGGCCAAACUUAGCCUGCCAGUGGUGAAAGAAGUUGGGAUUUGGAUGCAAGUCUGGUUUCAAAGACUGAUCUUUUCCUCUUCACAGUGGAACUCGAGAGAGAAAAGAUUUGGGACCAGGAGCGUAGUCUGCCCUUUUCCUCUUAAGCAAUACUCCCAAGGUCUUAUCAGCUCAGACUUUCAUUCUUGCCUUCAUUUCUUCACCAACUGUAGAGCACCUAUGACGUGAGCGCUGGGGCAGCAGGGGUCAUGGAGCUUCCAUUCCAGCAAGGGGGGAGAGCAUUCUCAGUGCUGAGACAGACUAGAAAGAACAUGCUGUAUAGACCAUGGCUGGGGAAUGAAGCCCACUUCAGUGGGUAGACAGGAGGGAGGGGACAGUUGAGUUGUCACUUGAUGAUAGGGAUGCAGCCCUGAGAGGACAGGACAGAGAGUUUCAGGCAGAGGAAGAACUUGGAGUCACCUGAGUCAGUUUCACCCAUCUGGGCCAGUCCUUCAGGGGAGGGGACGCUGUGGAGGUAGUUGGUGCUCCAGGCUGAGGUCUGGCUCCAUACUGUGAACCCAUCUCAGCUCCAGCCAGGGAGCACCUGGCCUGGCCUUUGAGGACUUUGGAGCUCCUCCCCUCACCUGUCUUCAGUGAAAUGGAAAUCAGGUGCAGGCAGCCCAACUUCUCAUCUGACUUCUCUCUAAAUAAGCGGAGAGCCUUUUCGACACAGUUGAUGCGCAGACAUGUCAUGGUGACAGGUACAUUUGUGGGUUCAUAACUGCUUACUGCGGAAACCAGCAGGAGAUGGACCAGGUUGUUUGCUGUUUCUGGCUACUUGAGCUUGUGUUAUUUUGAGCCAGGUCUGAAUCCUUUGCCUGCUCUGUGAUGAUGGAAGUGGGCUGUGGAAAUAUUUCACCUGCGACAUUUGGUAUGAUGUAAUGCCAGUAGAGGAGGCUGGAAGGACAGUGAAAAAGGAAGGAAUUUCCUCUUCCUGUUUCCCCGAGUACUGCAGGGUGCAGGGUCUCUUGCACUGGCUGCAGGGUGCAGCUUUCUCCGUUGCCUGGCUCCUGCAGAGAGCAGCUUCCCCAGCUCCCAGUUCUGGUAGCUCAGGGCAACCAGCAGAGCCCAGCUGCUAGAAGCUUCCCUCAGAACUUUCUCAAAGUGAUGUGCCACUGGCAAGGUACCUGACUGUGAACGGCUUCUUUGAGCAUCCCUCAGUUGACUUUGCAGCAACUUCCAAGGUCAUUUAAACAAAUUUUUAAAAAUUCCCUUUAACAAUAAAGAGGAAACCAAGGAUGCAGAUUAUGGCAAGAACAUAGUCAAGAUGAGGAAAUUGAGGCCCAGAGAGGUGAAGAGACAGGACGCCAGGAGCAUGCAGCUAGUCGUGGCAGGGCUGGCACUGGAAUCCAGGGGUUCCGCCCGGUGCCCCGCAGCUGCCCAGCCCGGGAACUAGACAACUCCUCUCCCUGCCCUCCCCACUCCACCCCGGAAGGCACCCUGGGAACGGAAAGCUGGCCGCCUUCCAAGUUCCAGGAGCCCGGGAGUCCUGGAGCCCUGCCCCCGCUCCACCCUCCCCCAUCCCCAGAACAAAGUACACUCGGCCGCGGGAACAUUCCAGCCCCCAGAAGGCCAGGCGGGGUGGCGGCCGGGCUCCCGGAGCUGCGACGGGCGUCUGCGGCCCCGGCCCAGCCCCGCGGUGCCCCUGCCCGGCGCCCUCCCGGCUUCUGCGCCAACCGAGUGUGUAGACGCAAUUGCACCGGAGGAAUUCUGCCUUCUCUUCCCUCACCGCCGGGACACAAAACUGAAAAGGCCUGGGACGCGGUGGGCGGAGCAGAUGCCGAGCAGGGCGCUGGUCCCCGAGGGCGCCGAGCGGGAGCCGAGUUCUCGGCGGCGCCAGCGCUGGGCAGAGCUGGCUCCGGGGCGCACUGGGCCCCCAUGCCUCACUUUACUUCUUUAUAAGAAAUUGACCCAUGCUUUUGUUAAAAAAAAAAAAAAAAAAAAGGACAAGUAGAACUAGGAGAAAGCUCUCCAUUCAUCCUACCACUCUGAGACAACUGCGAUUAAUUUUGGUUAUGUCCUCGCAGACAGUUCUAUGCACAAAAGCACACGGUUGUAUAUUGACAUGAAAGGGAUGCCGCUGCUAUAGUUUGUUUUUAAAGUAACAGACUUUAGGUUUGGGAGCAGUUUUAGGUUUACAGCAAAUUGAGGACAGAGUGCAGGGUCCCUCUAUCCCCUUGUUCCCACCCUCACAGUUUUCCUCUAUUAGUAACAUCUUGCGUUGGGGUGGUACUUUUGUUACAAUUGAUGGAGCAACACUGAUACACUAUUAUUAACUAAAGCCCGUAGCUUAAUUAAGGUUCACUCUUUGUGCUGUAAAGUUCAAAGUUUUGAUAAAUGCCUAACGCGUCACGUGUCCACCACUACAGUAGCAUACAGAACAGUUUUACUACCCUGAAAAUCCCCUGUGCUCUACCAAUUCAUCCCUCCCCCUGAGACCCCUUGCGGCCACUGAUCUUUUUAUGGUUUCUCUAGUUUUGCAUUUUCCAGAACGCCUAUGGUUGGAGUCACACAGUAAGUAGCCUUUCCAAGCUGGCUUCUUUCGCUCAACAAUAUUCUUUUAAGCUUCCUCCAUGUCUUUUCGUAGAUUAAUAGCUCAUUUCUUUUUAUCGCUGAAUAAUACUCCAUUGUAUGAACGUACCACUGUUUAUCCAUUCACCUCUGGAAGGACAUCUUGGUUGCCUCCAGUUUUUGGCGGUUAUAAAUAGGCUGCUCUAAAUAUUCAUGUGCGGGUUUAUUGUACUGUUUUCUAGCUUGCUUUUCUAAGUUUUGUUAUGAACGGCUUUUGGUAUUAUAAAUAUAGAUGUCUGUUAUCAUUUUAAUGGCUACAUACAAUAGCACAGUUUAUUUAACCAGCUCCUUUGUUAAACAUCUAUGUUGUCUCCAGUCUCAUAAAUCUGUUCUAACUAGUUGGUCUACACCAUAUCUUGUGGUUAAGGCUUGGCUGACUGAGUCCUGUGUUCAAAUCCUAGAUACCCCACUAGAUACCCACUGAGUGAACCUGGGCCAAGUUUUUAAUUCCCUAGGACUUGGUGAAAUCUGUGAAAUGGAAAUAGUAGUUGUACUUAUGGUGAGGAUUAAAUGAGCUGAUACAUGUAUUUAGAAUAGUAUGCAAAGUAUUUAGAAUAGUUUAGAACCCGCUACAUAUAAACUCAUAAUAAAAUUCAGCUCUUAUAAUGUAUUAUCUGUUGCGCACCUACCAUGUGUCCUGAGCUAGCCAUUGUGGAAGUUUUCAAAGACUAAAUCAUAUGUGUGAUCUUACCUUCAAGGAACUUUGAAUCAGCUCCUGAUAGGGGAUAAUGCAAAGCAGAGCAAUACUGAUUCCUUAUGUUGUUUUCUCUGUGCCAGGUACUGUUCUGGGGCUGGGAGAAAGCAAGGCUGGCAUUUGAACAGAGGUCUGGUCUAACUACCACACUACUCUGCCUCUCUGUACAUGUAGUUCCAAUACAAAAUACGAAGCAAGAUGUGUCCUAAGAAAGUGGAGAUGAAGUGUGAGAAUUCAAGGGACCCAGUGAUGGCUUCCACCUGGGCAUACCAGGAAAGGCUUUAUGUUAAAAUCCAUUCCCUUAACACCAGAAGAGCUUAUCUGUACCAGGCACAGCCCCAAGCACCAGUUGAAUAAAGAGGCAAAUAAGGGACUUCCCUGGUGGUCCAGCGGUUAAGACUCCAUGCUCCCAGUGCAGGGGACCCAGGUUUGAUCCCUGGUCAGGGAACUAGAUCCCGCAUGCCACAACUAAAGAUCCCUCAUGCUGCAGCUAAGACCCGGCACAGCCAAAUAAAAUUAAAAAGAGGCAAAUAAAACCAGUGGGGAGUUCUGGUGGGAGAGAUCAAAUGACAGGUUGUGAUACAAGCCACAGAGGAAAUACAGGCUGUCAUGUUGGAUACAGGAGGGUGUAGUGGAGGUUACGCCUUAGGGUGGUCGGGGAAGGCACCUGGGGAGGUGACUUUGAAACACUGAAAACUGUGGGGUGAGGAACCAGCCACAUGAGGAGUUGUGUGGAUAUUAUAGCAGCAAGAACUAGCAAAGGUGUGGAGGUAGAAGGGGGUUUUGGGUGUGGUCUGAUUCUGUCAGAAGCCAGCGCGUGAGGAGCUCAGGG